rnacentral:rRNA from 1 species
AUGCUUCCGCGGGCAUGGUUUCUGUUCCUUUUCUCGCUCUUCCUCUUGUUUGUGCAUUAUUAUUGGUUCACUGUGAAUGGGAAAACAGGAAAAGAGGAGCAGCGAGAGAACCGCCUCCCGCCUUCUCCACCGGCACUGCCCAUCAUCGGGCACCUGCACCUUCUCGGCUCUCUCCCGCACGUCUCCCUCCGCGCCCUCGCUGCAAGGUACGGCUGCGACGGCCUCAUGCUCCUCCGUCUCGGCGCCCUGCAGGCGCUCGUGGUGUCAUCGCCGCGUGCCGCAGAGGCGGUGCUGCGCACGCAUGACCACGCCUUGGCAUCGCGGCCCCACUCAGUGGCAUCCGACAUCAUCUUGUAUGGCUCAUCCGAAGUCGCCUUUGCGCCAUAUGGUGAGCACUGGCGGCGGGCAAAGAAGCUCCUCAUGAACCACGUAUUGAGUGUUAAAAAGGUGCAGUCUUUCCGCACCGUCGCCAUGGAGGAGGUUAGCAUGGUGUUGGCCAAGAUUAAUGAGGCUGCCACAGUAGGUGGUGCGGUGGACAUGAGCGGGCUGCUCAACUCAUUCACAUAUGGCUUGGCAUGCCGCAUUGUGUCAGGAGGAUUCUUCCUUAAUGACGGAACAUUGUUCCAGGACCUCACUAAAGAAACCUCACGUCUGCUAGGAGCGUUCAACAUGGAGGAGUUCUUCCCCACAUUAGCUAGGGUAGGACUGCUUAAGAGGACAGUUCGUGCAAUGUCCGAGAGAGUGAGAAAUAAAUGGGAUGAUCUGCUAGACAAGGUGAUCGAUCAUCAUGAGAGCAAGGAUAAGUCAAAGAUUGAUCACAAGGGUGGCAAUUUCGUAGAUAUUCUAUUGUCUGUUCAGAUGGAGUAUGGUCUCACAAGAGAGCACGUGAAAGCUCUCCUACUUGAUGUAUUUUUCGGUGCAACAGAAACGUCAUCUAACACCCUCGAUUUCGCCUUGGCUGAACUCAUGAGGAGACCCCGCUUGAUUGGGAAACUACAAGAGGAGGUAAGGAGUAUUGUACCCAGGGGACAGACAAUUGUCAGUGAAGCUGACAUUAACAAGAUGGCAUACCUAAGAGCAGUCAUAAAGGAGUCACUCCGACUUCAUCCUGUUGCGCCUUUACUUGCUCCACACCUGGCUAUGGCUGACUGCAACAUCGAUGGGCACAUGGUUCCUGCUGGGACGCAUGUCUUGGUUAAUGUAUGGGCCAUUGGUAGAGAUUCUAACUGCUGGGAGGAUCCUGGAGAGUUCAUACCUGAAAGAUUUAUAGACGAAGGCAGUGAUGUGCAUGGGAAUAAUUUCAAGCUCUUGCCGUUCGGGGCAGGACGCAGGAUAUGCCCUGGAAUAAACCUUGGGAUCGCAACCGUCGAGCUUAUGUUGGCAAACUUGAUGUGCCAUUUUGACUGGGAACUACCGUUAGGGGUAGAGAGGAAAGACAUUGAUAUGACAGAGCUGUUUGGGCUAACCGUGCGUCGUAAGGAUAAUCUAUUGUUAGUUCCAAAAUCACGCAUGUGCUAG